rnacentral:tRNA from 1 species
AUUUAAAUAGCUUAAGUUUAUAAAGUGUUGUAUUGAAGAUACAAAGAUAGAAAGAUUUCUUUUAAAUG